GUAGAGUUCUAGUGCAGACACCGGUUUAAUUCGAAGCACCAGCUUGGUUUCAUUGUGUGAUGAUGGACUAUACAGCUCCUAUAGUUUGCAUAUUCCAUCUGAGCACAGCUUUUCUUCAUCAUGGUGCAGUUCAGGGCACAGCAGUCCUGUGGUG